GAAAGUGAGUUUCAAAUUCAAAUUUGAGUCAAAUAAAUUAAAAUUCAAGUAAAAAUUUAUUUUUUUACUGUUUAUUUAUAUGGUGGUGGGAUCAAAGUUCCUCGAGUUUUACUGUUUUACUAUUUAUUUGACAAAAAUUGAAUGACGUAAAAAUUAGAGAUGUGAGACAUGGCUAAUAUUUUAGUAUUUUUUUACUUCUUUUUUUUCGUAAUUCACUUCGUAUGGGAUGGACCGAAGUUAUUUACACUAUUAUGAGAAGUUGGAGUUUCGACUGAAGGCAUGCAAAGCUAUGAUGGACCAAACAACGGAAAUUGACAUUUACAACUAAAAACUACUUCAUCUCUCUCAACUUUUGGUAAAAUAAACCCAACCCGAAUGGAGUUAGCUAAAAACUUGAUUGUCGUCUUAUAUUUUUAGUUGAGUUUAUUUCUAAAAAAACGAAUGAAACAAAUAGUUUGCCACCUUCUUCCUCACAAAAAAAAAAAAAAAAAAAAAAAAAAAAAAAAAAAAAUCACAUCGAAACCAUAUAUAGAGUUACUUUUUUCACAUAAGAAUAAUAGUAUUCAAUUAUAUGCCUCGACAUUAUAUGAAAAUACAAAAAUAACACAUUAUUUCAUCGUAAACUUAAGAGUCCGGCUAUGGUGCUUGUAGAAGCACAGAGCACUUGAUGCUUAUAAGUUUUAUAUCAUUGAAUAUACCCAUUUGAUCAUUUCUAUUUGUUAAAUCAUAUUAUUCGACUAACUACCUACUCAAUCCUAAAAAACUACUAUCAUAUCAACCACACAUUUUCUUAAUUCAAUAACUGAAAACCUAUAAGCACCAUUGGCUUGACACUUUUAAAAAUAUAGGAGCUUAAUUAAUUCAUAAACUUAUUAUAUUAUUUUUAAUUAGACAUUACCAUUCUACAAAGCAAAACAUCAUU
rnacentral:lncRNA from 1 species